CAGUUUUCUGAAAUGCAAAAUUUCUCUACUGUAGCAUCUCUCCUCUUGGCAUUUCCCAGAUCUACUGUGACUUACAGCUAACAUCUAACUCAAAGUUGAUUGUCACGCAGGAAUUACAACAGACAUUGUUUGGAUGGAAGGAGAAACCGCUGAGGGGCAGCAGGUUUUCACAUGGAAAUGGGCUUUCAUGUGUAAGGAAAUCUGGAGCUAUCUGGGAAGCCAUUCGAGGGCCCUCCUUCCCGAGUCCGUUGCCGUGCACAGAGCCACUUGGAGGCAGUGUUCGCACAGGCUGCUUCAGGCCUGUGCUUGUGAUGUGCAAUUUCCUGAGAUUCCGUCAUAGAGAAAAAAUCUGAGAAAAAUUAUAUGCCGGGAAGCAUGAUUUUUUUAAAAAGCCUUUGCCUUCAUAGGACACAUCUGUGAUUUUCCAUGGAUCUGUAAUACUGUGAUGCUCCUGUGAAGUGCUUUUUUGCAAAAACCUUUGUAGGAAGAGCCAGCAGGACCUUCCAGCAUACCAGCUGACAUAAUUGAAAAGAGCAUGCAAACUUUCCUGCACGGGGCAGAAAAACACUGCUGCUUGACCUUAAGAAUGGUAGAGUCUUUUUACUCUUGUUUUUUUUUUUUCCUUGGGUGGAACUGACCUAUUGUUUGUUUGUUUGUUUGAUUGAUUGAUUGACAGAUUAUAAAUAAAAACGGAUCAUGGAACUUCUUUCCCGUGUUACAGAUGCCACUGGAUCUCUUUCUUCAAUUGCAUAGAAACAAUAACAUGCAAAUGUUUGCAAAUGACUGCUACAAAACACUCUUGAACCAGCCAGUGACAACUGGUAAUGCUUGUAAAUCUUAGUUUGAUUGAUGCAUGUUUGCUGUUGCUUUGUUAGUUGUGAGGUAAGCCACACUUCUCCCUAUUCCAAACAUACAUUUCUCAAUCUGCUUUGAAAUUCAUACUCUCCACUCUGAUUGCAUCAAGUCCUAUUACCCAAAUUUGUUUUUCUUUUCAGGUAUACAACUUUGCUAGACAUAGAAGCUCUGAGGUGAAGCUGACCAAAAUAUAUGGUCCAUAUAUAAGUCCAUCUUCAGAUUCCUAGUGUUGGGAUAUAAUUGAUUGCUGUCUGUCCCAGAAGUUGUACAUGAAGAAGUAUACACCAUUGACAAAAUUUAGUAUCAUGAUUUCAUAAACUGUAUGUCAAAUACCAUUUGUAUCAAUAAAGUGGAACAUAAGAAAAAGGUAAUGAAGAACUUUAUAAUAAAGCAAGCUGCUGAAAUAAUGUAUUUCACCA